AAUGAACGCUGGCGGCAUGCCUAACACAUGCAAGUCGAACGAAGGCUUCGGCCUUAGUGGCGCACGGGUGCGUAACGCGUGGGAAUCUGCCCUUGGGUUCGGAAUAACAGUUAGAAAUGACUGCUAAUACCGGAUGAUGUCGUAAGACCAAAGAUUUAUCGACCAAGGAUGAGCCCGCGUAGGAUUAGCUAGUUGGUGGGGUAAAGGCCUACCAAGGCGACGAUCCUUAGCUGGUCUGAGAGGAUGAUCAGCCACACUGGGACUGAGACACGGCCCAGACUCCUACGGGAGGCAGCAGUGGGGAAUAUUGGACAAUGGGCGAAAGGCUGAUCCAGCAAUGCCGCGUGAGUGAUGAAGGCCUGAGGGUUGUAAAGCUCUUUUACCCGGGAUGAUAAUGACAGUACCGGGAGAAUAAGCUACGGCUAACUUCGUG
rnacentral:rRNA from 1 species